CGCGCAGGCGGCCUUUCAAGUCAGGGGUGAAAGCCCGGAGCUCAACUCCGGAAUUGCCUUUGAAACUGUCAGGCUCGAGUACGGGAGAGGUGAGUGGAAUUCCCAGUGUAGAGGUGAAAUUCGUAGAUAUUGGGAAGAACACCGGUGGCGAAGGCGGCUCACUGGCCCGUUUCUGACGCUCAGGCGCGACAGCGUGGGGAUCAAACAGGAUUAGAUACCCUGGUAGUCCACGCCGUAAACUAUGGACGCUAGCCGUUGGCAGGCUUGCCUGUCAGUGGCGCAGCUAACGCAUUAAGCGUCCCGCCUGGGGGAGUACGGCCGCAAGGUUGAA
rnacentral:rRNA from 1 species